AACAAAUUAGUCAAUUAAAAUAAUUGAUUCAAUCACGUCACGUCACACCAUAUCAUUCUAGACUGUGUCAAAUCUUACAAAGAAAUUUUGCCUCUGGCAGCUCUAGGCUCUGUCACUUUAUUUACUUCCGUUCUUUUAGAUUCGUAUUAGUAGUUUUUUUAUACAGCAUUCAUUUUCCUUGCCUGAAAUUUGUUAUUAAAUCCCAAAAUUAUUAAUUAAAGUCAAAAAUACCAAAGUUACCUCAACUACCAGUGUCACAGUGUUUCAACACCUUAAUAAGCAGACAAGUGACAAACAUCCAACCACCAUAUUGUAAUCAUCAAGUUGCAUAGAGAAAGUUGACAAAUAAUAAUUACCUUUACCAUGACAGAAGUUUAAACUGAACUGGAAAAGAUCGUCCCCGAGUCGAGUGCGCCUUUUAUGAUUCUCUUAAUAUCCUACCCAUUGCAUAUCGCAAGAACUUUACAAGACAAACGAAAUAGAAUUUCGGAUUCAAACACGAUCAUGUUCUUCACUUUCGUCAAAAAUGUAUAAAUCUUCAAUGAAUCUAGUGCCGUAAGAUGACCUAUUACCUAAUGUUUAAACUAUCUAGAACCAGGGAUGUUUAAUUAAUGUGCCUAGCUACUGACAGUGCGAGUGAAAUAAAAUAUGGAAACUGUUCCUACAAGCAAGGUAAGAUUAUGUUCGUUUUCCUGCUUUAGAAAAGUCAAGGCUAUUGAGAUCUUGUUAAAUAUACUUAAACGUUAGCAAUCAGAAAAUAAUUAGCCACAAAUUGACCUAUCUAGCAUUAAAUCUAAUUUUCUAAUUGAUCCUGUCCAUCAUAACCUAACAAAGAUUUCCCAAAUUUUUUUAUUAUCCUACUUAAAAAGCUUACGUCUAAUGCAGUGUCAGGCCUAGUGUAUUGUCUCCUUAUUUUUAUGGUUCAGUUCAUUUAUUUUCAAAUAAAAUUGAAUGGGAUCAAAGCGCUGACAAGAUGACAUUUCUAACUUUGUUUUAUCCUGCCUAUUUAAUGUUAUUUUGAACCUUCACUACUCAUUUCUUAUUGCAAUAAGACUUACAAGCGAUGUGUAUCUUUUCAGCAGGCUGACAACUAUUGAAUGUGGUGUGGACAAGUCAUUACUGAAGAAAAAUAUGUUGAAAUUACACUGUGAGACUCCGUUUACUGAUUUUGAUGAAUCUUUCCUGAGCUUUAAGAGUAAGUAUAACACCUCUGUUACUGGGCAGUUAUUUUUAUGCUUGUCCAUACUAUACUUGAAAUUUGGAAACUGUUAUCGUUCUAUAAGAUGAUAUGGGUGAUUUUUUUUUAUUGAAUAUGAGCUUUCCGAACUUGGUAAUGCAAUAUGUUAUGAAAAUGAAAAUUAUGUGAUCACGCCAGCUAAAUAUAAACAGGAUUUCUUGCGCUACUGAAGAUCUGUUAGUGAAUUGGUAUUUUCCUUUCUAAAAAGAACCCGGCAGUUAUCCGAUUAUUCAAAAAAGUGAACCUAAACUUGAACCUGUCAUAAAUAUUCCUCUUCUUGCAAUUAACCUUACAAUAUAUGUUUAAUCUUUCAGCAAACAAAGUCAACUCUGAUGGCUGCCUAUAUAUAUACCUAUACCUAGCGAUCUUGUGAUAUUUAUGCGGAGUGGAGCAAACUUCCAUUUGCUGUUUUCAUGGGCUUUUCCGAGUCUCUCGGUAAUCUCCAAUGCUAUUUGGGACAUUGUCCGAGCCACACAGCGAGUCUAUCAUCCACCUGACCUCAAUCUUUCUCCUGCUGACUGCUUCUAUUUAUGAAAGAUUAUGAAGAAGCAGACCACUCCAGACUCCUGUUCAAUGACUUUAUUUCACGACUUUUGCUGCAACAAUGGCUGCUGUCUUCUGACACUUGAAAGCUCCCGUUCAACGGCUCUAGUACAAGAAAACUGCUCCUACAUCAGCAGUGGUCUACAUUGAAUACUACUUAUAGGGAAAAUUUCACUCAAGAUCUUCCUUUAUAUUAGGUAUCAAGGCGCAAGAAGGUGAAUUUAUAAUUGAUUAUUAUGUGAUGACAAUUCUUAGCUGAGGAAUAUGAAAAGAAUCCCUAACAACAGCGAGAAAAGAACGAGUAAAGAAGAUUGAUAAACUUAUUAAUUAGACAAUAACUCUAAGGAUUUUUUUUUUGUACAUAGUAACAGUUUCAGAAAUAAACGUUAGGUUUCAUGGC